rnacentral:lncRNA from 1 species
AAAAGUUCUGCAACUAUAUAGUGAUGAUGGUUGUACAACACUGUGAAUAUAUUUAAUGGCAGUGAAUUUUAUACUUUAAAAUGAUUACCAUGGUAAAAGUUAUGUAUUUUACUACAAGCCUUUAAAAAAUGAUAUCAAUAGAGGGGUCAUUUGCAUUCUGGCCACAGAAGGGACUAAAGAAAUGGAAGGCUACAUGUAAACUGGCAGUGUCUGUAAAGAGGAUUCCAACUUUAAACAAUGAGUUAGAGUAUUCACGGUUCCUUCUGCUGAAUUAAAUUGUUUGACCAAAAGCUGCCUCCAUACCUAGCAAAUGGUAACCUAGGGUAACAUGUAAACAAAUUGCAAACUAACUUGAGAGUACAUUCUUGUAGAAAAUAACAGAGCCUCAGUCAAUCUCAGCAGCCGAACUUUCAGGCAGUCACGGGCUGCAAACUGCUCAGGCAUGUCUGAACAAGGCAAAUGCUAAGCUGCAACCAAUCAAGCUGUUUCUACGUUAUCACUUCCUUUUUCAGUCAGUAAAUACUGCCUGCUCACAUUGCUGGGUGAAGCUCUCUGAACCUCUCUUGGUUCUGAGUGCUGCUGAAUUCAUGAAUCUUCUUUGCUCAAAUAAACUCUGCUAAAUUUAGUUUGUCUAAAAUCUUUCUUUAAACACUUGCAAAGCUUCAAUUCGAUACUUCUGUUAUUCCAAUUCAUCAGCAUGUUGGCUUGGGAUUACACCCCUUCUGAGAGGAAAUUUAUUUUAAUUUUACUCAAGCAAUUUUCAUCACAAAAACGAUUAAAACAUGGAUUUAGUUUUCAAACAGGUCUUAGUCCUUUGGGACAGAAGAUGUAGUUUUACAUAAUAAAUGUUUAAGUAAAAACAAAAACGGAACCCAUGAGAAGUGAAGCACCAGUUCAGUACAGACUUUGAGUUAUUUCUAAGCUUUGGUGAGAGAAGCGUUGCCUGCCCCUAUUUGGCCCCAAACACUCCUGACAACCAUAUCCGAGGUCACCGCGUGUAUGUUGACAGAAUCUUCAUUCAGAUGUUGAAAACAUUUUGAAAAUUUCUCUACAGCCAGCUAGGGAACACAGUUUCUUUUUCCCCAUUAUGGCUUAAUCAUCAGCUUUCUUCUGCUUUCUUUUACCUUCAUGUGGGGAAGGCCACCUAGUUCCCAGCAGUUCUGCGUGGCUGGAGAGGCCUCAGGAAAUUUACAAUCAUAGCAGAAGAAGCAGCAGGAACUUUCUUUACGAGGCAGCAAGAGAAAGAAGAACGAAGGAGGAAAUGCCAAACACUUAUA